rnacentral:rRNA from 1 species
AUUGAACGCUGGCGGCAUGCUUUACACAUGCAAGUCGAACGGCAGCACGGGCUUCGGCCUGGUGGCGAGUGGCGAACGGGUGAGUAAUAUAUCGGAACGUACCCAGAAGUGGGGGAUAACGUAGCGAAAGUUACGCUAAUACCGCAUACGAUCUAUGGAUGAAAGCAGGGGACCGCAAGGCCUUGUGCUCCUGGAGCGGCCGAUAUCUGAUUAGCUAGUUGGUGAGGUAAAGGCUCACCAAGGCGACGAUCAGUAGCUGGUCUGAGAGGACGACCAGCCACACUGGAACUGAGACACGGUCCAGACUCCUACGGGAGGCAGCAGUGGGGAAUUUUGGACAAUGGGCGCAAGCCUGAUCCAGCAAUGCCGCGUGAGUGAAGAAGGCCUUCGGGUUGUAAAGCUCUUUUGUCAGGGAAGAAACGGUGGAGGCUAAUAUCCUUUGCUAAUGACGGUACCUGAAGAAUAAGCACCGGCUAACUACGUG